UUUGGUGGCGUUUGAAUGCUGAUAAACUGUGUGAAAUGUGAAUGGAUUUGGCAGGGAUUUUAAGUUGUUCAAAUUUUGCAAUGAGUAAUUCUUCCAAAACCUGUGAUUUCGGAUUUUAGGCUUUAUAAAAUUAAGCAGCAAGGCCUUAAUAUCAAGCCUCAAAUAGUUAUGGUGAGUUGCAUGGCAUUGGAAAGACUUUUUUCAGUUAAUUAACUUAGUAAAUCUUUUUUCUCCUCCUUUAUUUUUUGGUAUAUGUAAAUAGGCUGAUCCCAGAUGUAAAAGGAACAAAAUGCAACCAGGAAAUUGAACCAGACAUCAAUACAAAGCACUCCUACAUCCUUAGAGUGCCAUUUAGGACAGAAAAUGGAGUGCUUGAUCAAUGGAUUUCUCGAUUCGAUAUUUAUCCUUAUCUUGAGAGGUUUACUCAGGGAUCCUGUGUUUCCUUGGGUUCUGGCUGAUUAUUCUUCAGAGACUCUUGAUUUGAACAAGGCAUCUUCUUAUAGGGAUCUUUGAAAACCAGUUGGAGCAUUUGAUCCAAAACGAUUGGAGGGUUUUGAAGACAGAUAUCGUAACUUCUGUGAUCCUGAUAUUCCCAGGUUGAAAAUAUGGGGCGUUUAAAUUAUGAUCUCAACAUUUCGACCGCUCGACAAUGUUGAUUUUGCAAAUAUACAAGAAGAAAUUUAGAAUUUGAAGACUAUUAUAUUGUUGUAUAGAUUUUGAAUUGACUAUUACUUAGUAAAUAUGGAUUGAUAAUGUAUUAUUACU